GGUUCCAUGAUGAGACCUUAUAUUGUCUUGAGAGAUGAUGACAUAAAAUCAUAAACAAUAAGAUUACACAAAGGCUC